UGGGGAAUAUUGCACAAUGGGCGCAAGCCUGAUGCAGCCAUGCCGCGUGUAUGAAGAAGGCCUUCGGGUUGUAAAGUACUUUCAGUCGGGAGGAAGGUGGUAAGGUUAAUAACCUUAUCAAUUGACGUUACCGACAGAAGAAGCACCGGCUAACUCCGUGCCAGCAGCCGCGGUAAUACGGAGGGUGCAAGCGUUAAUCGGAAUUACUGGGCGUAAAGCGCACGCAGGCGGUUGAUUGAGUCAGAUGUGAAAUCCCCGGGCUUAACCCGGGAAUUGCAUCUGAUACUGGUCAGCUAGAGUCUUGUAGAGGGGGGUAGAAUUCCAUGUGUAGCGGUGAAAAGCGUAGAGAUGUGGAGGAAUACCGGUGGGGAAGGCGGCCCCCUGGACAAAGACUGACGCUCAGGUGCGAAAGCGUGGGGGGCAAACAGG
rnacentral:rRNA from 1 species